rnacentral:ncRNA from 1 species
AGAGUAGAGGUCGCGUCUAACAUCAGUAUCGGUCCCGAUGUGUCAGGCACAGAGGACGGGCCGGGAAAGGGGAAGACGCCGAAGGGAGAUGAUCCUGCAGUCAUUUGGCCCUGGGUAUAUGGUAAAGAACCAUAUAACUGUCAUCCUCAAAAGGAUGGUGAGCUACCUG